rnacentral:tRNA from 1 species
GUUUAAAUAGUUUAUAAAAAUAUUAAUUUGUGGGAUUAAAGAUAUGGGUUCAUUUUAAACA